CCAAUGUCCCAGUCCCUGGAGAUGUCUCACCUCUCACCGAGAUGCACUCAGGGCCUAUUAGCUUUGGAUAUAGGUGCUGGGUCAUCUUCUGAAGCCGAAUCUCUUAAGCAUCGUGGGGAAGAAAGACUUUGACACUUUUAAGACAGCUCUCUUCUUUCUAGUGUGGGGACGCAGACCCAGAAAUGGAGCCUUGAGCAUAACGUCAUACAGGCCAGUGGAGAGGUGGGCAUGAAGUUCUGUGCAAACACAGAGAAGGAAGUGACCUAAUUUUUUCUUGGAGUAUCGGAGCUGGCUCUACAGAGGAGAUGACCCUUAACUGGAGCAUUGAAGGAUGGGUCUUACAAGAAGAACUUCUCAGCCUCUCAGGAGAGUGUAAGGAGGAAUUGAAUUCCACAAAGCAAAUACUAAGGAGAAGGGAGCCAAUGGAAAAAGAAGCAACCUUCUAACAACAGGUGAUAGGCAAACACACGGUUUGCUCUGUGUUUUUUCUAUGAUGAAUGUUUCAAACUGACUCAGACUAUUGAUAUCCCAGAAGAGACUUCUCCAAAAGCCUUGGAAAUAGAGGAUGCUGGCUGGCCAGAGGCUGUGUGGAGCUUGGCCCCUACCUGAGGUGGAGAGUCAGGAGGGUAGCUAUUUUCAGCUCUAAAUACACCCAGAGUGAGACACCUAACAGUUAGGGAAAGAUGACCCUCUUUCUCUAUUCCUAUCAGAAUGACUGGUGUAACUAUACAUGUUGGUUAGAAGGCACUUGUCAUACAGUUUAGAGGUGGAAUUUUUGAGGUAAAUGUAUUAAAUAGAUGAGUGAAUUGAAGAUAAUUUGAAAUAAAUACUCAGUUAUGAAAUAUAUGAAAACAGAAAUUCACCAUUUGUCUGUAAUAUCUACUUCCCCCCAAUUUUUAUUUACAAUUCAAAUCUCUGUUAAAAGCACCUGAGGAUGAAGUUGUUUUCCAAAUAACUGAUGGCACUCAAUAAGACAUGACAUUUAUGGGUUCCGACUACUUGAACUCCUUUUGGAAAGCAAAGGUGUCCUGUUGCUGUUCAGUUUAUUGAGAAACGAGCAGUUGCAAUACUGUGCCGUUUUCACCUCCAUGGACUCCCAGAAACCUCUGGACUGACCUGGCCACCUGUAGGCACCUGGGAUACACUGUUUACAAAGCUGAGUCCAAGAACUUCUCCUCUCCCUGUGUG